GUAGGUGAACCUGCGGAUGGAUCAUUAUCAAAACGUUAUCCACGUAUAAACCAAUCUUAUGUGAACUGUCUAUGCCUUCGAAUGUGAUUAAAGAGUGUUUGGUUGUCAUGACCGUACAAUCUUCUAUCUAUUUUGAAGCGUAUAAUUACUUCAUAACAUUAACCAAUCGAACCAUUUCUAUAUGAAAUUGUUUUUUAUCUUCUUUGUGUGAACUGAAUUGUUUCUUACUAUUUUAACCGAUAGAAGAAAU
rnacentral:misc_RNA from 1 species